rnacentral:rRNA from 1 species
UACGUAGGGUGCGAGCGUUAAUCGGAAUUACUGGGCGUAAAGCGUGCGCAGGCGGUUAUGCAAGACAGAUGUGAAAUCCCCGGGCUUAACCUGGGAAUGGCGUUUGUGACUGCAUAGCUAGAGUGUGUCAGAGGGAGGUAGAAUUCCACGUGUAGCAGUGAAAUGCGUAGAUAUGUGGAGGAACACCGGUGGCGAAGGCGGCAUCCUGGACCAAUUCUGACGCUGAGGAGCGAAAGCCAGGGGAGCAAACGGG